rnacentral:piRNA from 1 species
UGGAAACCAGGCAGCCCUU